rnacentral:rRNA from 1 species
AGGUCAGCGACUGGGGUGAAGUCGUAACAAGGUAGCCGUAGGGGAACCUGCGGCUGGAUCACCUCCUUU